GAUGAAGAACGUAGCGAAAUGCGAUAAGUAGUGUGAAUUGCAGAAUUCAGUGAAUCAUCGAAUCUUUGAACGCACAUUGCGCCCCUUGGUAUCCCGAGGGGCAUGCCUGUUCGAGCGUCAUUUCACCACUCAAGCCUGGCUUGGUGUUGGGCGACGUCCUCUUUGGGGACGCGCCUCGAAACGCUCGGCGGCGUGGCACCGGCUUUAAGCGUAGCAGAAUCUUUCGCUUUGGAAGUCGGGGCCCCGUCUGCCGGAAGACCUGCUCGCAAGGUUGACCUCGGAUCAGGUAGGAAUACCCGCUGAACUUAAGCAUAUCAAUAAGCGGAGGA
rnacentral:misc_RNA from 1 species